AAAGACGUGACCUCAGAUGUUCUAUUUUUAAUUACAGAAGAUACAAUGUAAACAUUUUCAACUCAUUUUUCUUUUUUAUUCCCUCCUUCCCCUAGUAAUCAAAGCAAAGAAGCUUUCAUUGACUGGGCAAGAUAUGAUGAUUCACAGGAUCACUUUUGUGAGCUUCAUGAUGAGCGAUCGCCGGCGGCUCAGUACGUAGACCUGCUGCUGAACCCGGAGCGCUACACUGGCUACAAAGGGUCUUCCGCGUGGAGAGUGUGGAACAGCAUCUACGAGGAGAACUGUUUCAAGCCUCGAUCUGUUUAUCGUCCUUUAAAUCCUCUGGCACCUAGCCGAGGAGAUGAUGGUGAAUCAUUCUACACGUGGCUGGAAGGUAAAC